rnacentral:ncRNA from 1 species
AAGAAGACUCGGAAUCUGCCAAGAAACAUAGUGGGCGUAGUAAUAAGUGGGAGAAGGGAAUCGAACCUCGGAGUAUCUCACACGACAGUGAAAAACCCCUCCUAUCAUUGUUUCUUUACGUGUUCAAGAAGUCGGAACUAUCCAGUUGACACCAAGCACACUGUGGUGAGUUGAUCUAACACUGUGUGCGACCGGCGUCCCGGUCGCAACUGUCUGGCCAGGGUUACGGAUGUGCGUGCAUUGCCCGCUGCUAUCUGUAGGUUAUUGCCGCAAGGUGGCAGACUUCGGCCGGUGGGUGCGUGCGCCCGGUCUUGGUGCUAUCAGGCAGGUUUGCCGAAUUGUGACCCGACCUGCUAGGACCGUGUUAGGCUGGAGCGGUACAUCUGUCAAAUCAUAAAACAGGGGUCCCAAGGUGAGCUAGGAAAGGACAGAAACCCAGUGUAGAGUAAAAGGGUCAUAGCUUAGUUGAUUAAGACUUCCAGUACGAACACGGACCAUGAAUAUGUGCUCUAGCGAUCCUUUUGAUCAAUUAAUAUUCAGAGUUCGAAGCAAGAGGUGUCAGAAAAGUUAAAACAGGGAUAACUUGCUUGUAGUGGCCAAGCGUUCAUAGUGAUGUCGCUUUUGAUCGUUCACUAAGGGUCGGGUAAGUGAGCUGAAGUGAGACUGUCAUGAGACAGGUUAGUUUUAC